GUCCAAAUCAAUUGUCCAAAAGAAAUAAAAAGCUAAUAUUUUCUGUUUGUGUGGGCUGUUUUUAGGCAUUUCAAAAGGCAUGGGAGGAAGCUUGUUCAUCUGAAGCAGGUGUCCUUGUUGUGCCUGAAAGCAGGUAUCGAUUGAAGCCAUUGAGAUUCUCAGGACCUUGCAAAUCCAAUCUUACAGUAGUGCAGAUAUUUGGAACCAUUGAAGCAUCAGAUGAUCGAUCAGACUAUGAUGAAGAUGAAAGACACUGGCUUGUGUUUGAUCGAGUUCAGAAUUUGUUAGUUGAAGGUGAUGGAACUAUUGAUGGAAAUGGCAAUAUAUGGUGGCAAAAUUCAUGCAAAGUCCAUAAAGAACUUCCUUGCAAGGAAGCCCCUACGGCUCUCACUUUCUACAAAUGCCAGAAUUUGGUUGUGGAUAACCUGAAAAUCCAAAAUGCACAGCAAAUGCAUGUUUCUUUUCAAAGUAGCAGUGAUGUUCUAGUCUCCAAUCUUAUGGUAACUUCACCAGAGGAUAGUCCCAACACUGAUGGAAUUCAUGUCACACGUUCUCAAAACAUCCAGAUUAUAAAUUCAUUCAUAGGAACAGGUAUACGCUCGAUACUUUAUAGUUCUGACAGAUAUAUCAUAAAAUAAAAACUCAUUGAUAAUCCACUAUUCUUUUUCACCCUUUAUCACUAGAACUUCUUUAAUCAUUCUUGACCCAUAUGUGAUUAAAAUUUAUGGAAGGUGAUGAUUGUAUCUCUAUUGUAAGUGGAUCCCAAAAUGUUCAAGCCAUGGACAUAUCCUGUGGACCAGGUCAUGGAAUAAGGUCUCAUCAAUUCUACCUAAAUUUUCAUAGCAAUAAUCAUUAAUUAGCUAGCUAGUUGGCUACUAAUAUUAAUUUCUGCUUUCUCAUGGUGAACACAAGCAGUAUUGGAAGCUUAGGCUCUGGCAAUUCAGAAGCUCAUGUUUCAGGAGUAACUAUUGAUGGUGCUAAACUUUCUGGUACUACCAAUGGUGUUAGGAUCAAAACAUGGCAGGGAGGGUCAGGAUAUGCCAGCAACAUCAUUUUUCAAAAUAUUGAAAUGCACAAUGUGAGCAAUCCCAUUAUAAUAGAUCAGUACUAUUGUGACCACAAAUCAUGCAAAGAAAAGGUAAAGAAAUUAUUAUUAUUUUUUAAUGGGUGAUAUUUGAAUCUUAAUUAACACCAUCCUUUUCAUGUGAUUAUAUGUAUAAUAGCAGAGAUCUGCAGUUCAAGUGAAAAAUGUGGUGUACAAGAACAUCAAGGGGACUAGUGCUUCUGAGGUGGCUAUCAAAUUUGAUUGUAGCAAGACCUAUCCCUGUCAAGGGAUUUUGUUGGAAGAUGUUAUCCUGGAAAGGGAAGCUGGGAAUCAAACAGCAAAAGCUUUGUGCAACAAUGUUAAUUUAGCUGAACUGGGAGUUGUUUCUCCACAUUGUCCCUGACCAUAAUUUAUGCAACAUGUUC
rnacentral:misc_RNA from 1 species